GGCGCACGGGUGAGUAAUGCAUAGGUAACGUGCCCCUUAGUCUGGGAUAGCCACUGGAAACGGUGAAUAAUACCGGAUACUCCUUCUUACUUAAUGUAAGUUGGGAAAGUUUUUCGCUAAGGGAUCGGCCUAUGUUGUAUCAGGUAGUUGGUGAGGUAAUGGCUCACCAAGCCUAUGACACAUAGCGGGUCUGAGAGGAUGAUCCGCCACACUGGUACUGAGACACGGACCAG
rnacentral:rRNA from 1 species